rnacentral:rRNA from 1 species
CCUACGGGAGGCAGCAGUGGGGAAUAUUGCACAAUGGGGGAAACCCUGAUGCAGCGACGCCGCGUGAGUGAAGAAGUAAUUCGUUACGUAAAGCUCUAUCAGCAGGGAAGCAAAUGACGGUACCUGAGUAAGAAGCCCCGGCUAACUACGUGCCAGCAGCCGCGGUAAGACGUAGGGGGCAAGCGUUAUCCGGAUUUACUGGGGGUAAAGGGAGCGUAGACGGUGCGGCAAGUCUGGAGGGAAAGGCCGCAGCUUAACUGCGGAACUGCUUUGGAAACUGGCGAACUAGAGUGCGGGAGGGGUAGGCGGAAUUCCUAGUGUAGCGGUGAAAUGCGUAGAUAUUAGGAGGAACACCGGUGGCGAAGGCGGCUUACUGGACCGUAACUGACGUUGAGGCACGAAAGCGUGGGGAGCAAACAGGAUUAGAUACCCCAGUAGUC